UACGUAGGGUGCGAGCGUUAAUCGGAAUUACUGGGCGUAAAGCGUGCGCAGGCGGUUUUGUAAGCCAGAUGUGAAAUCCCCGGGCUUAACCCGGGAAUGGCAUUUGGGACUGCAAGGCUUGAGUGCGGCAGAGGAGACUGGAAUUCCUGGUGUAGCAGUGAAAUGCGUAGAUAUCAGGAGGAACACCAAUAGCGAAGGCAGCUCGCUGGGACGGUACUGACGCUGAGACGCGAAAGCGUGGGGAGCAAACAGG
rnacentral:rRNA from 1 species